rnacentral:rRNA from 1 species
UACGAAGGGGGCUAGCGUUGCUCGGAGUCACUGGGCGUAAAGGGUGCGUAGGCGGGUCUUUAAGUCAGGGGUGAAAUCCUGAGCUCAACUCCAGAACUGCCUUUGAUACUGAGGAUCUUGAGUUCGGGAGAGGUGAGUGGAACUGCGAGUGUAGAGGUGAAAUUCGUAGAUAUUCGCAAGAACACCAGUGGCGAAGGCGGCUCACUGGCCCGAUACUGACGCUGAGGCACGAAAGCGUGGGGAGCAAACGGG